rnacentral:rRNA from 1 species
UUAUUAUUUUAAAUUUAAUGUUAUAAAUUAUUUAAUUAUUAUUUAUUAGAAAUAACUUAAAUUGAAGUAUUUUUUAAAGAAUUAAUUAGUUUUAUUAUUUAUAGUUUAUUUAACUGUAAAGGUUUAUAAUUUUAUAUAGAUUAGAAGUAAAAUUAAUUAUUUGUACCUUUUGUAUCAGGGUUUAAUCAAUUUAAUACUAAAUAAUAUAGAUUUCCCGAAUUUAGAAGAGAUAUUAAUAAUUGUUAUUUAUUGUGUUAUAAAUAUUAAUUAAUUAUUAAUAGUUGUUAUAUGCUAUUCAUUUUUAAAUAUCUGGUUUCUUGAUAAUUGAAUUUAAUUCAGAACUAAAUUAAGUUUAUUUUAUAAUUAAAUUUUUAUUAAACUAUUUAGUUUAAAAUUAAAAGGGAUAAGCUUUUUAAUUUAUCUAUAAUUUAUUGAGUAUUUAAAAUUUUGUAGGAUUAGAAAUUUCCAUCCUUUAUUUUGUUAUAAUUAAUUUUUAAAUAUUAAUUUAUUUUUUCUAUUAUUUAGAUUUAUAUCAAGAUUUAUUAUUUAAUUAUUUUUUAAUAGUUAUAAUGAUAAAAUUAGUAAAUAAUAAAAUUAAUAUAUAGUAAUUCGGCAAAUUUAUUUUUUACCUGUUUAACAAAAACAUGUCUUAAUGAUUAUUUUUAUUAAGUCUAACCUGCUCAAUGAUUUAAUAAUUAAAUAGCCGCAGUAUUUUGACUGUGCGAAGGUAGCAUAAUCAAUUGUCUCUUAAUUGGAGGCUUGUAUGAAUGGUUGAAUAAAAAAAUAGCUUUCUUUAUAUUAAUAUAUUGAAUUUAAUUUUUAAGUUAAAAGGCUUAAAUUUAUAAGUGGGACGAGAAGACCCUAUAGAAUUUUAUUAUUUAUGUUAUUAUUUUUUUUCUUUUGAUAAUAAUAAUAAUAAUGAAAUAAAUAGUUUUGUUGGGGUGACAAUGAGAUUAUUUAAACUCUCAUAAUAUAAUUAUUUAAUAAUUAUUAUAUUUAAGAUCCUAUUUUAAGGAUUAUUAGAUUAAAUUACCUUAGGGAUAACAGCGUAAUUUUUCUGGAGAGUUCUUAUUAAUAGAAAAGUUUGCGACCUCGAUGUUGGAUUAAAAUUAGAAUUAGGUGUAGAAGCUUAAUUUCUAGGUCUGUUCGACCUUUAAAAUUUUACAUGAUCUGAGUUCAGACCGGCGUGAGCCAGGUCGGUUUCUAUCUUCUUAUGAUAUUUAUAAAUUAGUACGAAAGGACCAUUUAUAUCAAAUAAUUUGUUAUUUAUUAUUGAAUACUUUUAAAUGGUUUAA